CUAAAGACCAAUCCUCAGAUUUAAACAUUUAGAACUUAAACAUUUAGAGUUUGGAGAGAAGAGAAGAAGCCAGAAAAAGAAACCAAAAAGGAUUAACAAGUGAAGUAAGAAGACAAGGAGUGUGUGCGUUUGUAGAAAUUAACUGAAGGAAGUGUUUUAAGAAACUUACCAGCUGUUUCAAAUGCUGUUCACAGUUCAGCUAAGAUGAAGACUGAGAAAGGACCCCUGGAUUUACAAUGUGGAUGUCUUGACAAUUACUACGGUACCCCAAAGCCGCCAGCAGAACCAGCACCAUUAUUGUUAAAUGUAACAGACCAGAUACUUCCAGGAGCCACUCCAAGUGCUGAAGGAAAACGGAAGAGGAAUAAAUCAGUGAGCAACAUGGAGAAAGCCAGUAUAGAGCCUCCUGAGGAGGAAGAGGAAGAGAGGCCUGUAGUCAAUGGAAAUGGAGUAGUAGUAACACCAGCACAGUGUCUCUGCCCUGCCUUCAUGUUCUUCACAUUCUUCACAUUCACCAGACACCAGAUUUCAAAGAAGACUGAGAAGCAUGUUCCUAGCCAGGUGCGGAGGCUCAUGCCUGUAACCCCAGCACUUUGGGAGGUCAAGGCAGGCGGAUCACUUUCAUAGGAGUUUGAGACCAGCCUGGGCAACAUGGCAAAACCCCAUCUCUGCAAAACACACACACACACACAAAAAUUAGCCAGGCAUGGGGCACACACCUGUAGUCCCAGCUUCUUGGGAGGCUGAGCUGGGAGAAUCACCUGAGCCCAAGGAGGUCAAGUUGCAGUGAGCCAUGAUGGUGCCACUGCACUUCAGCCUGGGCAACAGAGUGAGACCUCGUCUCAAACAAACAAAAAGAGAGAGAGAAACAUGUCACUUAAAUUUUAGUUAACGCUGCCCUAUAUCAACUAACUAUAGUAAUAAUUAAUAUCAG
rnacentral:sRNA from 1 species